rnacentral:rRNA from 1 species
GUGUCUCCUGCUGCGCUCGAACCCCUGUGACAUACCUAUACGUUGCCUCGGCGGAUCAGCCCGCGCCCCGUAAAACGGGACGGCCCGCCCGAGGACCCCUAAACUCUGUUUUUAGUGGAACUUCUGAGUAAAACAAACAAAUAAAUCAAAACUUUCAACAACGGAUCUCUUGGUUCUGGCAUCGAUGAAGAACGCAGCAAAAUGCGAUAAGUAAUGUGAAUUGCAGAAUUCAGUGAAUCAUCGAAUCUUUGAACGCACAUUGCGCCCGCCAGUAUUCUGGCGGGCAUGCCUGUUCGAGCGUCAUUUCAACCCUCAAGCUCAGCUUGGUGUUGGGACUCGCGGUAACCCGCGUUCCCCAAAUCGAUUGGCGGUCACGUCGAGCUUCCAUAGCGUAGUAAUCAUACACCUCGUUACUGGUAAUCGUCGCGGCCACGCCGUUAAACCCCAACUUCUGAAUGUUGACCUCGGAUCAGGUAGGAAUACCCGCUGAACUUAAGCAUAUCAAAGUGGGGGAGGAAA